rnacentral:tRNA from 1 species
GGACCUGUAGCUCAUCGGUAGAGCGCUCGGUUUACAUCCGAGAGGUGGAAGGAUCAUCACCUUCCAGGUCCA